CCUACGGGAGGCAGCAGUGAGGAAUAUUGGUCAAUGGGCGAGAGCCUGAACCAGCCAAGUCGCGUGAGGGAAGACGGUCCUAUGGAUUGUAAACCUCUUUUGUCGGGGAGCAAAAAGGCCUCGUGAGGCCCCACUUGGGAGUACCCGAAGAAAAAGCAUCGGCUAACUCCGUGCCAGCAGCCGAGUUAAUACGGAGGAUGCGAGCGUUAUCCGGAUUUAUUGGGUUUAAAGGUUGGCCAGGCGGAGGUGCAAGUCAGCGGUCAAAUUGCGGGGCUCAACCCCGUACUGCCGUUGAAACUGCAGCCCUUGAGUGCGCGAGAAGUAUGCGGAAUGCGUGGUGUAGCGGUGAAAUGCAUAGAUAUCACGCAGAACUCCGAUUGCGAAGGCAGCAUACCGGCGCGCAACUGACGCUCAUGCACGAAAGCGUGGGUAUCGAACAGGAUUAGAUACCCUUGUAGUC
rnacentral:rRNA from 1 species